rnacentral:rRNA from 1 species
CGUAACAAGGUUUCCGUAGGUGAACCUGCGGAAGGAUCAUUAUUGAAUGAACUUGGUGUGGUUGUUGCUGGCCCUUUCGGGGGCAUGUGCACACCCAUCAUCCUCAUCUCUCCACCUGUGCACCUCUUGUAGACUUGGAUUGACUUUCCGAGGCAACUCGGUCGGGAGGAYUUGCUGGCRUUAGCUGGCUUUCCUUGCAUUUCCAAGUCUAUGUUUUUUCAUAUACCCCAUUGAAUGUAACAGAAUGUAACAUAUUGGGCCUUUGYGCCUAUAAAAACUUAUACAACUUUCAGCAACGGAUCUCUUGGCUCUCGCAUCGAUGAAGAACGCAGCGAAAUGCGAUAAGUAAUGUGAAUUGCAGAAUUCAGUGAAUCAUCGAAUCUUUGAACGCACCUUGCGCUCCUUGGUAUUCCGAGGAGCAUGCCUGUUUGAGUGUCAUUAAAUUCUCAACUAUUAUCAGCWWWWGCUGAURAUGGCUUGGAURUGGGGGUUUAUUUUGCUGGCUUCUUCACAGAUUGUCAGCUCCCCUUAAAUGCAUUAGCCGGUGCCCCGCGUGGACUGUCUAUUGGUGUGAUAAUUAUCUACGCCGUGGACAUCUACAAUCAUAUGGGUUUGCACUGCUUCCAAYYGUCUGUUUAUUCAGACAAUACAUGACAAUUUGACCUCAAAUCAGGUAGGACUACCCGCUGAACUUAA